ensembl:rRNA 5S_rRNA 5S ribosomal RNA
GCUUACGACCACACCGGCCUGAGUACGCCUGAUCUCGUCUGAUCUCGGAAGCUAAGCAGGGUCGGGCCUGGUUAGUACUUGGAUGGGAGACCACCUGGGAAUACCAAAUCAUCGACGGAC